AGGGAGUCGUGCUCAUUUAGUAGGUUUGUUUGCAGAUAAAAGCGUGACAGCCUCAUCCUGUAAUCAUAGGAGGUUGCCAAUAUCAUCCCAUAAGAAUGAACCUUCAGGGACUGAGUAGGGUGAGUGAUUCAGCAGAAUUCUGCCUUGGGGAAGGAUAAUGAGAGUGAUUCCCAAAAGGGAUUCUCCUCCCCCUUCCUCCCCAUAGUUUUGUUUCUUGUGAGCAGUACCACCAGCGGCAGGCACUGGGGGCCCGGAGCUGUCAUUUCACUUUGUUCACCAGAAGCUGUCCUCAUAUGUUUUGCGUCAUAGCUUUUGAGAUUAAGAACAGCCACAUACCACCGGCAUGCAGUGAAAAUAUAAGACUGGAGAAGGCAGAAGAAAAAAGGGGAUAAAGAACGAGCGGUGUGUUCUACGAGGGAGCAAACAGGGAGAAACUAGAGAAGCUGAAGAAAUUUGCUGAGUGUCCAAAUGGCUGAAGCAGAAAAAUGAGUUAGCCUAUAUAAAUCCUCUUCUAAAAACAUGAUGAGCCUGCAGAGAGGCAACAAAUAUUUGCAGUCAUGGUCUUUACCUAAUGAGGUCUUACUUAAAAUAUUCUUGGCAUUUUUGUGUUUGGUUAGCUCAUUUUAAAACACAAACUUUCUUUAAGAACCCUAAAUCUUCUUUACAGUGUGCAACUUCAAAAGAAGUUAAAUUUAAAAUUUAAUCAUGAUUUCAAA